GCGGGGAAUCUUGCGCAAUGGGCGAAAGCCUGACGCAGCCAUGCCGCGUGAAUGAUGAAGGUCUUAGGAUUGUAAAAUUCUUUCACCGGGGACGAUAAUGACGGUACCCGGAGAAGAAGCUCCGGCUAACUUCGUGCCAGCAGCCGCGGUAAUACGAAGGGGGCUAGCGUUGCUCGGAAUUACUGGGCGUAAAGGGCGCGUAGGCGGACAGCUUAGUCAGAGGUGAAAGCCCAGGGCUCAACCUUGGAAUUGCCUUUGAUACUGGCUGUCUUGAGUUUGGGAGAGGUGAGUGGAACUCCGAGUGUAGAGGUGAAAUUCGUAGAUAUUCAGAAGAACACCAGUGGCGAAGGCGACUCACUGGCCCAAUACUGACGCUGAGGCGCGAAAGCGUGGGGAGCAAACAGGAUUAGAAACCCCUGUAGUCC
rnacentral:rRNA from 1 species